UAGGGAAUCUUCCGCAAUGGGCGAAAGCUUGACGGAGCAACGCCGCGUGAGUGAUGAAGGUCUUCGGAUCGUAAAACUCUGUUAUUAGGGAAGAACAAAUGUGUAAGUAACUAUGCACGUCUUGACGGUACCUAAUCAGAAAGCCACGGCUAACUACGUGCCAGCAGCCGCGGUAAUACGUAGGUGGCAAGCGUUAUCCGGAAUUAUUGGGCGUAAAGCGCGCGUAGGCGGUUUUUUAAGUCUGAUGUGAAAGCCCACGGCUCAACCGUGGAGGGUCAUUCGAAACUGGAAAACUUGAGUGCAGAAGAGGAAAGUGGAAUUCCAUGUGUAGCGGUGAAAUGCGCAGAGAUAUGGAGGAACACCAGUGGCGAAGGCGACUUUCUGGUCUGUAACUGACGCUGAUGUGCGAAAGCGUGGGGAUCAAACAGG
rnacentral:rRNA from 1 species